CCUACGGGAGGCUGCAGACGAGAAUAUUCCGCAAUGGGCGAAAGCCUGACGGAGCGACGCCGCGUGACUGAUGAAGUCCUUCGGGACGUAAAGGUCUUUUAUGAGGGAAGAAGUAUAUUGACGGUACCUCAAGAAUAAGGGGCUCCUAACUCUGUGCCAGCAGGAGCGGUAAUACAGAGGCCCCAAGCAUUACCCGGAAUCACUGGGCGUAAAGGGUGUGUAGGCGGUUAUGUUAGUCCUGUGUUAAAUCACCCGGCUCAACCGGGUAUCCGCACUGGAAACGGCAUAACUAGAGGAUGCGAGAGGUCUGUGGAACUCUAGGUGUAGGGGUGAAAUCCGUUGAUAUCUAGGGGAACACCAAAAGCGAAGGCAGCAGACUGGCGCACUCCUGACGCUGAGACACGAAAGCGUGGGUAGCGAACGGGAUUAGAUACCCGGGU
rnacentral:rRNA from 1 species